GAUGAAGAACGCAGCGAAAUGCGAUAAGUAAUGUGAAUUGCAGAAUUCAGUGAAUCAUCGAAUCUUUGAACGCACAUUGCGCCCGCCAGUAUUCUGGCGGGCAUGCCUGUUCGAGCGUCAUUUCAACCAUCAAGCCCCCGGCUUGUGUUGGGGACCUGCGGCUGCCGCAGGCCCUGAAAUGCAGUGGCGGGCUCGCUGUCACUCCGAGCGUAGUAGUUACAUCUCGCUCUGGGCGUGCUGCGGGUUCCGGCCGUUAAAAGCCUUAUUUACCCAAGGUUGACCUCGGAUCAGGUAGGAAUACCCGCUGAACUUAAGCAUAUCAAUAAGCGGAGGA
rnacentral:misc_RNA from 1 species